UGACACCUGUGCUAAUUAGAUAUCUAGUAUGCACCUGACACCUGUGCUAAUUAGAUAUCUAGCAUGCGCCUGACACCUGUGCUAAUUAGAUAUCUAUCAUGCACCUGACACCUGUGCUAAUUAGAUAUCUAGCAUGCACCUGACACCUGUGUGUAAUGGAAGCAGACCGCCAGAAAACGUGUCGUCACUGAAAUAUUCUGUCGGCUGCAACUGUGAUAUAGCUGGUCAAAACGGUGUACAGCAGCAGUGUAAAAAAUGCAUUCUCAUACUUGAGUCAAAGUAAAGAUACUUUAAUAGAAAAUGACUCAAGUGAAAGUGAGUCACCCAGUAAAAUACUACUACAUGAGAAGGUCACAAAGCUCCUCUGCUCUCCAGGAACUGGACCUCUCUCCUGCUUCAGCAACACCUGGACGCUCUAUUCAUUUCAAACAAAAGUUUGUUCUUUGAGUUAAAAGUCUUUGGUUUUAAAUAUACAUCAGUAUAAAAAGUCAACAUAAUUGCUAAACUAUACUUACAGAUCAAAAGUAAAAGUAUAAAUGACCGUGUUCUCUUGACCGUGUUCUCUUGACCGUGUUCUCUUGACCGUGUUCUCUUGACCGUGUUCUCUUGACCGUGUUCUCUUGAUAAGUGUAUAAAUUAGACCAUUUUCCUGUCCUGCUAAGCAUUCAAAAUGUACUUUUUGGGUGUCAGGGAAAAUGUAUGGAGUAAAAAGUACAUUAUUUUCAGGAAUGUAGUGAAGUAAAAAUAUAAAUAAAGUACAGAUACCCCAAAAACGUUUCACUGAAGGACUUCACACCACUUCAGUAAAUGUGUAUUUUACAUUUGUGAAAUUAUUUCGAUGUGAUAUGAAAGUGACAAGGGUUUUAUGUUUCUAGAAAUGUAUCGCAGUUGAGAAUCUGAUUCAUGUUUAGAUGGAGUGUCUGUUUUGGCUUCCAGUCUCCCUAUGAAAAUAACAGAAGGGCCUUGGACCUUAGAGUAACAUUAGGCCCCUUUAGAGGUCAUCUUGGGCCAGAUCUGGCCCUGUUGUAAAUCUGGCACCACCAUCCUCCACAUCUCAACCCUGGAAACAGAAACGAGGGGAGAGUCUGGACACCGAGGCCCUCCGUGAGACCGUUUGAACUACAUGAGAAGGUCACAAAGCUCCUCUGCUCUCCAGGAGCUGGACCUCUCUCCUGCUUCAGCAACACCUGGACGCUCUAUUCAUUUUAAACAAAAGUUUGUCCUUCUUCCUGUCUGUUUUGGUUGGUUUGAAGUGAGACUUCUUUGAAACAGACUGAUGAUGAUAACCAGUUUUGUCCUUUUCUUUCUGUACAACGUUAUGGAUCUGCUGUUAUAUUUUUUGUUCAGGUUAUGCCACGAUGUAAUAUUGAGAUUUUACAUUGUGCUUUUUUUUUGCUGUACAGAUGAACAUUUUGUCAAUUUAAUAAAAUUGUCUGCAUAUUUUUA